rnacentral:tRNA from 1 species
GUCUAGAUAGCUCAGUUGGUUAGAGCAUAGGACUGAAAAUCCUUGCGUCAUGGGUUCAAAUCCCAUUCUGGACA